rnacentral:rRNA from 1 species
CGGCGUGCCUAACACAUGCAAGUCGUACGGAAAGUCGGCUUCGGCUGAUGAGUAAAGUGGCGCACGGGUGAGUAAUGCGUGGAUAAUCUGCCCUUUAGUUGGGAAUAACGUACCGAAAGGUGCGCUAAUACCUGAUAAUACUGCAUAACUACUGUUGUGUAGUCAAAGAAGGCCUCUGUUUACAAGCUUUUGCUGAAGGAUGAGUCCGCGUACCAUUAGCUGGUUGGUGGGGUAAUGGCCUACCAAGGCUACGAUGGUUAGCUGGUCUGAGAGGAUGAUCAGCCACACUGGAACUGAGACACGGUCCAGACUCCUACGGGAGGCAGCAGUGAGGAAUAUUGCGCAAUGGGGGCAACCCUGACGCAGCAACGCCGCGUGAGUGAGGAAGGUUUUCGGACCGUAAAGCUCUGUCGAGCGGGAAGAAAUGUAUCAUGGCUAAUAUCCAUGAUACUUGACGGUACCGCUAAAGGAAGCACCGGCUAACUCCGUG